UGGGGAAUUUUGGACAAUGGGGGAAACCCUGAUCCAGCCAUCCCGCGUGUGCGAUGAAGGCCUUCGGGUUGUAAAGCACUUUUGGCAGGAAAGAAACGUCGCGGGUUAAUACCCCGCGAAACUGACGGUACCUGCAGAAUAAGCACCGGCUAACUACGUGCCAGCAGCCGCGGUAAUACGUAGGGUGCAAGCGUUAAUCGGAAUUACUGGGCGUAAAGCGUGCGCAGGCGGUUCGGAAAGAAAGAUGUGAAAUCCCAGAGCUUAACUUUGGAACUGCAUUUUUAACUACCGGGCUAGAGUGUGUCAGAGGGAGGUGGAAUUCCGCGUGUAGCAGUGAAAUGCGUAGAUAUGCGGAGGAACACCGAUGGCGAAGGCAGCCUCCUGGGAUAACACUGACGCUCAUGCACGAAAGCGUGGGGAGCAAACAGGAUUAGAUACCCUGGUAGUCCACGCCCUAAAACGAUGUCAACUAGCUGUUGGGGCCUUCGGGCCUUGGUAGCGCAAGCUAACGCGUGAAAGUUGACCGCCUGGGGAGUACGGUCGCAAGAUUAAAAACUUAAAGGAAUUGACGGGGGUGC
rnacentral:rRNA from 1 species